rnacentral:rRNA from 1 species
CAGCAGCCGCGGUAAUACGGAGGGUGCAAGCGUUAAUCGGAAUUACUGGGCGUAAAGCGUGCGUAGGUGGUUCGUUAAGUCUGUUGUGAAAGCCCCGGGCUCAACCUGGGAAUGGCAAUGGAUACUGGCGAGCUAGAGUGUGUCAGAGGAUGGUGGAAUUCCCGGUGUAGCGGUGAAAUGCGUAGAGAUCGGGAGGAACAUCGGUGGCGAAGGCGGCCAUCUGGGACAACACUGACGCUGAGGCACGAAAGCGUGGGGAGCAAACAGGAUUAGAGACCCCUGUAGUCCCUGUCUCUUAUAC